rnacentral:rRNA from 1 species
AACGAGCGCUGGCGGCAUGCCUAACACAUGCAAGUCGAACGGGAUCCUAGCUUCGGUUAGGUGAGAGUGGCGAACGGGUGAGUAACGCGUGGGAACCUGCCCAGAGGUACGGAAUAACAGUUGGAAACGACUGCUAAUACCGUAUGAGCCCGAGAGGGGAAAGAUUUAUCGCCUUUGGAGGGGCCCGCGUCAGAUUAGGUAGUUGGUAGGGUAAUGGCCUACCAAGCCUUCGAUCUGUAGCUGGUCUUAGAGGAUGAUCAGCCACACUGGGACUGAGAUACGGCCCAGACUCCUACGGGAGGCAGCAGUGGGGAAUAUUGGACAAUGGGGGCAACCCUGAUCCAGCAAUGCCGCGUGAGUGAUGAAGGCCU